ACAGAGAGUUGUUCUCUCGUGCACAACAAUUUCAUUGCUUGUGCUUAGAAGCACGUGUCAGAUUUGGCAACAGUCACACAAGAUACACACAGCUUACUUAGUGCUGCAUAGACCAAGUUUUAAGCAGGUUGCUGUUGGAUUUCAAGGCUCCAGAGCUUUGGUUAUUUUGGUGUAACGGUAGCUAACAAGCCUGACAUCAGCUGAGCUUGCCAUAGCAAGCACCCUCAGUAAUUCUCUUCCUUCCUCAGCAGCCAAGAGACUCAGCCUACAUAUCUGAGUCACUCCUUCACAUCCUGCCCUGCUUCAGCACUUCCAUAUCUAAAGCAGAGGCUCCCCGGAGCAGCAGACUGAGCUUCCAGCCACUUCAAACAGGACACCAAGAAAUCCCACGUUCUGAAUAGACUCUGUUUACAAGCUGGCAGCGUAUGGAGCUACUAAGGUGCUAUUACCCAAGGAGUGAAACAAGUCUCAUUGCACUGAGCUGCACGUACACAUGCACAACAUGUGCACCACGAUGUCUCAGUUUGCAGCUGCUGAAGAAAUCACGUGUAAGAAUGAAAGUACAAGAAACAGGGCAAACAGCAGGCAAGGCUUUGCCCACAUCAUAAGUGGCCGUGGUUAUUAUGGUGAACAUUUAUGAACUUUGGAAUGUAAGAUAAGAUACUGCAUCACAUGCAGGACUCAGAAGAACUUGUUGCCAUUUCAUUUUGAUGAAAAGUUUUUAAAAUUCAGUUAAUAUAAAGAAAUGGAACCACAGGUGCAUACAGAAUUCCACAGAGGGGGGCAUUUAGAACUACCAUUUCCCUUUAAAAGUCUACUUUUAUUCUUGAUAGCUUAUCCCUUCUCCAGAUGGGACAGUACUCCUCAAAGGUAAUACAGGGAGAGAAUAAGGUAGAAGAUAAAUACUGGAAAAAUACAAAGCAACUGAUGCCACAAAGCCAAAUUUCUCCCAAGUCUAUAUGAACAUAGAAUUAGGACAACUUAAGAGCCAGCUUGAGCCAGACUGUUCCGCCUCUGCGAAGACUGACCUGACAGAAGUAUUUCACUAACUGACUAAAAACCGAAUCCUGAGGGCACAGUGAAACUAUACAACGAUAGAUUUCGGUCUUCAUCAAAAGGAGAGAACCAUAGAAUAAUUAAAUAUAGAAAAGAGUUCUAAGAUCAUCUAGCGCAGCCAAAGCUUCCUACUGUUUUCAGUUUAACUUGAUAACAGAGGCGUAAGCAACGUAAAGGCAGAGAUCAGCACAGAUUUGUCCUUCUACAGUCUGUCCCCAUGUUAGUUGCUGAAGUCAAAUGUAAUAAAUUGCUGCCUGUGAGAAAGGGUCUCUGGGUGCACACCCUAGUAGGACUGAAAGAAACAUGUAUCCCUCAGUCAUUAUCUGGCUGUUCCAGAAAGACUAAAAGAUAAGUCCUGCUGAAGUUGUGGAAGUCUCAGUGUACCUAUUGAUCUCUAAGAAUACAGAUUGCUCAGAAUAAUCCUGCCUUCCUCCAGCACAAAAAGUUUAAGGACAAUAAUUAUAUAGAGAGCUCAAGAACUCUGAGCUAGACCAGCUCCAGGCAUGGAAGUUUUGGCUUCAUGCAUGUUGAAUUACACAACCUCUUACUAGGAUAUGACUGCAUUCCAAGUUCAAUUAGGACUUCCUAAGAAGUCUCAACAUCCCAGACCUAACCUUCUUCAAUCCAGAGGGUUUUCAUUCCUAUCUGUGGGUUACCACUUGUUUUUGCCUUUGAAGCAGCCACAGAAAAAAAAUUCCCCAUGUGCAAACCAGAAAAGAUCAACUCACCAUAGCUUUUCUGGUUGGAGUAUAACAGCAUCUCUAACAACAAAUGUUGCCUCAGUUCAGCCACUGUCACAGUGUACAUCUCCUUGCAGAUGGUAGGUAGAAAUCAUCCCUACAGAUAUAGAGGCCUUGAGAGCUAACACCAAAAAUUAUUUCACCUAGAAGAUACUAGUUUGAGUUGUAGAAAUAAUUUAAAACAACUCAAUCUUUUCAUGCAGAUAUUUCCACCUCCCACCUCACCACCCCACCCCUUGCCCUCCAAUGCCUCCUUGUGCAUAUAUUGUUUCACCUUUCCGUAUUCCCUCCCCCCCCCCCCCCAUUCUAGACUUUGACUUUUGACUUUUUUGACAAAGUUAGACUUUGACUUUGCAACUAACUAUUUCUCAGCUAAGUGUGUUUGAAGGCAUAGUAUAAUCUCUUCACCUCUGGCUUCCCAGAUGUUAUUUCCCAACAUCUGAGUUUCCCACGUUAUGCAUCGCCAUGUGCUUAAGCUCAGAGCCAACAGCUGUUUGUAACAGCAAGCUUGCUUUCAAGCUCCCAUCUAAGCACCCUUGCCAGAGCAAUGUCAGUUGCCACUGUGGUUAGAGAGCUACUGAAGCCAGAGCCAAAUAGAUCCUUGCCAGCACAUCUAUGAAGGAAGGAUUAUUUUGUCUUGACCUCCAGCAAGGGAAGUGCACCCAAAACUCUCUAGAUUUCCCUCACUGAGGCAGCCAAGCUUGAACUAAGGUUUUUUCCCUUAUUCCUUUAAGAAGAUUUUCAGGGCCUACAGGGAAUUACUGUGUUUUGCUUUCUGUAUCUUUGUGCACAUUUAAAUUGACUAUUGUAUACCUCAGUAGAACUGGCAUGUUUUAGGUACAAAGCCUGGCCAGAGCUGACAUUGUUUCCCAUUGUAGCAGACAAACAGCACUGACCUGUACCCAAAACACAUGGAUUUUGUGGUUACCACAAACCCCUACUACCCAAAAAAAAACAUUUUCCUAUGACCCAAAUGCAUUUCACUGUUCAAGGAAGGACCUUGAACAGUGCCUAAUCUACACCACUCUCAUCUCCACAUCCUCCACCAGAAAUACCCAUUUAAUGGUUCAAAAGCAGGAGGGAGAUGAAAGGAGGGGUAAGGAUGCCCGUAAAUAUUUAUGAAAUCCCAGAGAUGAGAGGGAGUGGUUACAACAGGAAGAGUCUCUGCUUUUCCAGCUCUACCACACACCCAACAAGAGCCAGGAUGUUACCCUAAUUCACUCCCAUGCACUCCUCACGUUCAUAUUAAUACUCCCUGUCUGCCUGUGCUGCAAGCUAUGUUUUCCUUGCAGCUGGCACAGUUACAGCUAGUUAGCAGUGGUGCUGCCUGGGGCAGCUCAACAAUGGGCACAGCAUGCAGCUACACAGUAUCAGUCCAUUAACAAAACACCCAGCACUGGCAAGAACACUGGCUCAGACAUCUGCACAUCCUGUAGGAACUGCACUGGAGUUAUGUUUCCGAUAGGUUUCUGAAGACAGUAUCACAAAUACAUAACCCAGCAGGAUUUAGAAUACCCUUUAAUGGCUUCUACUGGCUCCUAUAGCAAAAUAUUCUUCCACAGAGUUUGUUUUGUUUCAUUGUUUAUUUCUUACCCCCACCCCAAUGAGGUAAGUAAAGACUCUUGCUUGACAAAAGACCGCUGCAUCCAGUUGAGAGGACUGGAAUGAAAGCCCAUUGAGGUACCCAUGUUAUGCAGAUCUCUUAUUUUCCCAGUCUCCUGCUGGGAGAGAUAAAAAAAGUAAUUUUGAAGGUAAAAAGUUUCUCUGGAAGAGUCUCAUCUGUAAGACUGUAAGUCUGUAAGUCUGUCUUAUAGCUGUGUCAAGCUAGAGAGCAGGAGGUCAACAUUUCUUCAGAUGAUUAAAACCUCUUACUGUAACACCCAUUUUACUACUGUCUUCCCUAUUUCUUCCCUCCUUACUGGGGAAGAAAGCAAAAAAGAGCACAUUGAUUUUCAAUGGAACAAUGUCAUCCACUCAGUAAGUAUACUCCAGGGAAACCUAAUUACAUAAAAACCUCUUUGGCCCAUGGUGCAGACAUACUAAGACUGAAAAGAGCAGCAGUGCCUUGGUAAAUGCAGUCAAUUCAUGACACCAGAAUCUGGCUGAACCACACCCUGGAUGAAGGAAUAAUCUUCUCAAAUUAAAAGUAAAACCACCUAAUUAAAGAGCUAAUAGUGUUUCAUGACUCAUUGGUCUGGGGGAUCCCAAUUUCCUCAAAGACUAAAAAUACUUCUGCCCUCAAAGAUUACUCUCCACUCAGCCUCCAUACAAUUCAUUUCACCCUUGGAGGACUUCAGUACAGCUGCAUGUUUCAUGGUAGUCAUGGUAUGAAAUCACCACAUUAAUUUACAUGCACCUUCUGAAUGGUUUCACAGCUGUAGUUGAACACCUUGAUUCAGAUUCAAAAGUGACAUACAACUCUACUGGCUUGAAAUGGCCCUACUUCACCCUAGCCACACAUCUAGUUCACAUGUCAAAAGGCAGAGAAGGAUUCAGGUUAGGAUAGCCUUGAUCAAAUUUUGAUUUUAUCAUAAUUUCCCCUUACCCUUAUUUCUUUUCUAUGUUGGGAGGCAUAAAGCAGAGUCUAUCCACAAAUUCUUUCUGUCAAGCGUCAUCUCUGGUGGAUGUUACCAUACUACUUCAGCUCCAGCUCCCCUUGCAUUUGCAGCCUGAAGUACAGGAGAGUUUAGGAGGAACAGCUGUAAGGGCUGAAGCAGUACAAGCCACAGCCAAGCCCACCAUCAGCUCACUUACUCCAUUUAGGCCAGGGUCAGAUGGCUCUCGUGUCAGAAAGGUUACAAAUGGUGUACUCAGACAUUUUGCCUGCCCUAAACUACUGUUUACAAAUAAGGUUUCUUCAGUUCCCUAAGAGCUUUGGCUCCCACUUUUAGAGCACCUCUAAAGAGCCCACAAUCCUUCUCCAGCUGCCAUUUCAAUUUAAUCUCCUAAAUGACUGUUUACAGCUGGAGUUAAGGGUUUUAUGAAAGACCAACAUGUAGCAUUCUUAGUCUAAUCCUCUAAAUAAACAGUCACAGACGUGCCAAGAUCAGCUCUGAGGACCUCAGAAAUCUGGAGACUAAGACAUACGAGCAACAAGGUGAGAUUCUUCAAAUCCUAACCAGUAGGAAGACAGGGAUCCAAGGGCUCCGAUAUGGAGGCAUGAGAUCAGCACUGAACUUCUGAUUUUCCUAAGUGCUCAGAGGAAGUCUUCAGAACUAAGCCAUCUGAAGUUUACAAAGUUCUGCUGCUUUCUAUGAGUGAUUUUUCCUGUUUAAACUCAUAAGCAUGCACUCAGUUAAAACAGAGGGCACAGUACUAAUUAGACCCAAUCUUUGCUAACUUGCUCUUCACUAGCAUGUCAGCAAGGGCAGGGAGAAAAGAACUUGGUCCAUAACAAUCUCAGAGGUAACAGACAUUUGUGUCUACAAAAAGGGCAGCAAUGAUGUUUAAUGAUAUUUAAAGGUGCUCAAAGGUGAAAUACUUCAUUCGGAUCUUUAGGAAUAGAUGGCAGCUACCAGUGAAUUGAGUACUAUGCCAUAACAGUUUAAACUUUGUACUUCCAUGUCUAAGGCCAUCACAACCCUUUUCCUGUGAGAGGUAGACAUGCAGUAGGUUGCAUCUGCCAGAGUUCCAUUAAACACUUCUCAUUUUCCCACCUGAAAUAACAAGACACAUCUUGGUUAAGCAGUAGGCAAUCUGCAUAUCCUCAUCAUCACAUACUAAUCAACUGAAGUUCACAGAAUCAUUUAGGUUGGAAAAGAUAUCUAGGAUCAUCUAGUCCACCCAUUCGUCUGCCAUCAAUAUUGCCCACUAAACCGUAUCCCUAAGUACUACAAUCUAUACCCUUAAACAUCUCCCAGGACAGAGUGGUGAGGCAGUGGAACAGGCUGAGAAGAAAUUUGUCCUGAUAUCUGACCUGAAGUUCUCACUGUACACAUUGUCUCUUUUUACUGAGAUGUAAACACAAAUGGGAGAAGGAAUCCCGCCUUUCCAAAUCAGUUUCUGUGAAGUUCUGACUGCAAGUUCAGUCAUUUCAGUGAGUCUUCAAGCUGUGUCUUACGUUACAACAAAUACCCAGAACUUAGGUUUUGGCCACCUGCAGAAGAUGGGUAUUCACAAACCAUCACUGGUUAGAGAGGAUGUGGAUUCAAGCAGCCCAGCUGUGGCAGACAGUAGUCCAGGGGCCACCCAGGGCACACAUCUCUUGCCAACAGCAGGAGGAAGGCUCAGCUGCUACAUCUGGCACCAGAACAAGCGGUCUAUUAAAAUAACAAAAGCACUCCUGGGUACAGUUUUGUUAGUCAUCUCCCUAGAAGGGUCUACCUCCCUAAAAUCUGAUGAUAAAACAGAAAAGCAAACAUUUAUUUCAGCUGUAACAGCUGUACCUUGAAUUCUGUGUUUUCAGAGGAUUUGACUGUGUCCCAAAAUCACUCCUAAGUACUUUGAGAUGUGCAAGACUAGACAAGCUUUCAAUCUUAACAAAGUAACUAGAGCAUACUACAAGGUGUCAGAGACCCACUCCAGAUAAGGUCUACCUUUAUGUUCUGCAUUUUGUGCAUGAAUAAACACAACUUCAAAAGAUUUGGCCUAUGAUUUAAAACAAAUCUUUUGCAAGGACUGAAUUAAGGAAAUCAAUCUUUUUUCAAAAGAAUACCAGGAGUUUUUAGAGAAACCAGAAUAAACCACAAAAUUCUCUCUAAAUAACACAAAAACAAACAACACAAACACUCAUCCCUUCAAGUAACGCAUUACUGGUCUUGCACUCGCUGAUAGAGAGCAGAGCUGUUUGCUGAUGUUUGCAGUCCUCAGAAUGCAUGUGAUUAACAGACAAGAUGUUAGAUCACACUCACCUGAUUUAGGUAAUAUACACCUUAGGAGAUCACUAAAGUAGACACUGACAGAAGAUCUCAAUGUUUAGUUUUUAAGAAAUACCACAGCUGGGAUUCCCAACAUCUUUUUAAGUCAUGGCUUUAGAACACGUAGACAGAAGCAUUUGAGGAGGCUGGCCCUAGAACUACAGAGUCAGCCUGGAUAUUGGGUAGCCUCCCGAAUGAGAUAUGUUGGCUGACAAUAUCAGAGAAGGUACUUAACAAUACAGAGUUAUGAGGUUACAUGAUGAAAGAUGAGAGGGGCUCAGUCACUUCUGCUGCCAUGAAGCAAAGAGGAGGAAGGGCUGGGGUAAAGAAACCACGGAGAAGCUGCCUCCAGCUCCCAGAACAGCAGCUGCCAAUCCUCACAACUUGGUGGCUCCUUCCUUGGACUCCAGCUGCUUCUCAAAGAGCAGUGCUCUGGGUGCCUGCCUCCUGUGCAGGAAGGAAGCUGCUGUUGGUAGAACUGUAGAAGCAUACAAACUAUAUCCCUUCAAUGUUUAGAUGAUUUUGCUUUAAAUGAACUCACUGGUUACAAAUAUAUUUGACAGUACCUGUAAUUCCCAUCUGCUAAGGAUGAUAAUCUAAUUUAACCACAGAAUUUACCUAAUGGAGUAAGGUGAGGCCUAGAGAGCAAACAGUAGGUCAUGUUACACACUACUGAUAUAGCAAGACUUAUUUAGAAUGUGCUUUUCACAUCCUCAACUUUCAGUUUAUGGGUGGUCGGAAAUACACAGUAAAAUUGUGUUUACCUAAAUUUCACAGGGGAUUUCCUGUAACAAAAGUGUAGAACCACAGAGGUCAAGCUGGCCUUUCACAGCAUGAGAGCUGGUGGCUUGGUGCAAACUGCUCCUCUUACUUUUCAAGUCACUAUUUACCCUCACAUUAAAACAGAAUAAACUUAUUAAAGUUUUGGUUUGCAUCUGUGACAUCAAGAAGGGCUAAGUUUGAUGGAUGAGAGAGAGAUUGCAGCACCUACCUGUGCAUUGCUCUACUAGCAUGUGUCACAUCUGCCUACCUCACCAGCAAGCUGCAUUUAUAGCAGAAUUGUACAACGUUGAUCCAAUGACUCAUUGCUAAGGCAUUUUGGGCCCAGAGCCACAUCUCAAGUAGUCUCCACUAAAAUAAUCAGGAUGACCCCCUGGACUGCUACUAGAUCAUCAGAUGCCAUUUCAACACAAGACAUCUGGGUAGAAUUCACACACUUGAUAACAUCUGCUUGCUUUCAACUAUGGCCUACUUUCAGAUGACAAAUGUCAUUCUCUGUUGUAAUAAACACAGUAAUUGGUGAAAGGUUUUUGUCACCACAAAUGAAGCAAGCCUCUCUUGAGGAAAUGAAACAACUUACUAACAGAGCUCCAUUAUCACUGAGGUAUAUCAUCAUCAGUUUAUCGUCAUAGGUAUAUCAUCAUAGAAGAGCAAAAUAAAGACCACUUUAAGACCUCUCCUCCCCUUGCCAGCAACUUUCAGGACUUAAAUCCCUCCUCAUAGCUCUUAGGACCCUCAUUUUGCAUACUGGGCUCCCACCCAACUUCUAUUUAAUAAAUUCAAAGACCAGCUAAUCUUUUCUCUCACAGCACAGAGACAUAAGUACCAAGUAACAGUUCAAAAAUGCAACUCAUGUUUUACAGCCUGUUUUUUGGGUUGUUUUUUUUUUUUUGAGAAAAACUUAAGGUUAUAUGAUCAACCAGAGCACCCUUCUACACUCCACCUCCUCCUCCCCAGCAUCCUCUGUAAUGCUUAGAAGUGUAUUUCAAAAAUUAGGAAAAAAAAGAGGAAAUUCUGUUUCCACCAUAUUCAGGGUGAUGGAAGACAAAACCAGAACAAUCCUAUGAAUUUAACUCUUGUAAGAGUCCAGAAAAAUUUUACAAGAGAGGGUUCACUAAAGCAAUAAUAGCAGAAUAAGAUAACAAAAUAGCACACAACUCCCCUUGUAUGGUUACAUGCCUAUCCCAUAUACUUUUGGGCAGUUUUCUUACAGAAGUAAGAGGGCAAAAAUUUGUCUUCUCUCAACAUAGCCAUUUGGAAGUGAUUUGCAUUGGUUGUUGCAUUCCUAACUUGACUGCUGGUAACUGUUCCUUGGGAAACUUCUGCAACAUAACCUGUACUGCUGUUGUAGUAACAUCACCUUUAUUUCCCUAACCUCUCUGUCAUAGUUACCUUUCCUUGUGUAUAAUAUGAAUGUGAAUUGCAUUCUACAGCUCUUGCCAAGUAAGACAAGCUUUGCUGGAUCAGACAAGUCUAGCCUAGUGCUUCAACUCAACAAUAGGAAAAGUUAUUGAGUGAUAGCACAGAUAUCUCAGAUAUCAGCCAGGCUUACACUGUGCUUGUGCUCCACCACAGAAUGAAGUCAACUUUUACUGUCUAUGUGUGCUAAUCAGUAGCAAAGCCAGAGCAAGAGCCACGACAAAUGCCACCCAAGACAGGAAACAGCAUUUGCUAACCUUUAGGAUCAGUAGUGUGAAGAGUAGAAAAUGUAAAUAAACCUGUGUUUCAGAUCUUUUCUAGCACUAGGCAGCCAUUUCACACAAGCCCAGAUCAUCCUCAGAGACACCUUGGGUGCUUGAGUUCUUUGUUCUGCCACAUCUCCUCGGCAACACAUCACACUGCUAAAUCACACUAUCAUCUGUGUCUGUUCAGUCAACUCCAUGCUACCAGGCAGAAGAGAAACUAUGAGGCUAAGUUCAGCAAUUGCUUCUACAGAGCUUCAUAGCCUCUUGAGGUGGUUCCUCCUGGCUUUUAACAACUCUAAGCUCGUCUGAGGUAUCGCUACUGCCCCAAAGCACACCAGAAGAUAUUACUUCAAAACAAAAACUAGAUCUGGCAUAGAAUUUGGGUCCCCCCCAAAAACUAACCUUGCUAUGUCAUGGCUUUUGCUGUAGCAGAGUUAAGAGUCACUGUUAAGGCACGCAUAAAAGUCUAACCUGUUAUUGAUUGGUACACAACAACCAGAUGAUGCAUGGAGCAGACAAUUAAAUGAGGAAAAAAAACAAUAACCAAAAAACUCAAGAUGACCAGUUGUGCCCUGUGAAGAUCAGGGCAUGAAAGGUGGCCAGGGCUGAACUGUAAUGUGAAAAUAAAGUCACAGAAAGGCAGAAGGAGACAUGAUCACAUAAUCAUAGUUUCAAUCUCUCCCUGUUCCUCUCUAAAUGAAGAGGCCCUUGUGGGAGGGCGUAAGAUUUUUGUUUUCAUGGUUUGGAACUGUUUUCUUUACUUUUGAAAAAUCUAAUUUCUAUCCAAGAAGUGGAUUAUCUCCCAAUUCUGAAAGAGCAGCACUCACCUAAAAAUAAUUCACAAGCAACACUGCUAAAGUACUACACAGUCCCCAGCAGGAAUGUCAAGACAGUGAAUGACCACAGAAAAAGGAAAGCAAAGCCCUCCAUACAUCAAGACACACAUUUGGAGUAGAUUUCCUGCAUCUACAUACAGAAGAGGCCAGGCAAUAUGUGAAAAUUAAUGGUACUCCCACACAGCCACGGGAAGAAGAGGGUUCCGUUAUCAGAGAAAGGCAAGGAGAAGGAUGCCACCUCUUUCCUGUGUCAUGGAUCUGAAUAGAGUCUUCUACAGGAAAUAAACCCAAGCCAUCUUUCACAGUGCUUUGAGAGAAAGGAGCUCUUCCCUUUCCUUUCAUACCCCAGUCUUGCUUCUUGGAAAAGAAUCCAGCAACUUCUUGUUUCAUCAUGACUGGAGAUAGGAAAAAGAGUAAUAUUACUGAUAACAGACACAGACACUUUGAGGACAGAAAAGAGGCAGUAUCUGAUCACGUUCACAGUUCUUGAAAGACAGUUGUAAAAUGAUUCAAUUGAACUGGAUCUGAACUAAUCAUUAACAAUUAAGUCUUAAAGUUUUAAGAAAACUGGGAAACAUUCCAGAGUACAGGGCCUGCAGAAAGUGCUUAUGACUCCAUUCUAUGAAUAGGAAAAAGAUGCUUACGUUGUAUAGAAUCAUUUGACUAGGAAGAGACCCUUAAAGAUCAUCUGGUCCAACUUCCCCACAAUAAACCAGGACGCUCUACAGCUACAUCAGGUUGCUCAGAGCUUCAUCAUUCAGCCUGAGCUGGAGUUUCUCCAGGGACAGGGCAUCCACCACUUCUCUGGGUAACCUCUACCAGUGCAUCAACUCUGUUAUUGUAAGACUUUUUAUUUAUUUAUUUUUAUGUCCAAUCUCAAAGUCUUCCCUCUCUUAGUUUGAGGCCAUUUCCCUUCAUCUUAUUACAACAGAUCCUGCUAAAGCAUCCAUCUCUCUCUUUCUUGUAGUUUCUGUUUAGAUACUGAUAUUGUGUGCACAUCCCAUUAAUUCAACAUAAGUUUUAUCUCCACUUAGAAUGAUUAUUUACAGCUUAGAAAAAUGAGCACAAGUGUUCUCAAGCAUUGCCUGUUUGAAAAGGUUUGUGGUUGUUUUUCUUUUUGUUUGUUGUUGUUAUUGUGGGGUUUUUCUUUUCUGUCCAUCUCUGAUGGACUGGAAUUAACCAGACAUUAGAAUUCUAACAUUAGUAACUGAGCCAUAUCCAAAGAGUAACAUUCAGCUUCCAUACCAAAGAAAGCAUAGAAGGCUGUAGACUUCACCCUUGUAAAUACUGUCCAGGCACUGGGUAGGAAACUGAUUUUCUAAGCCUGUAGUAUUUGGCAACUGCCAGCUUUAUUUUUGUCACUGGUUCAAGAGCCCUUGAACCACGAGGUCUUAAUGAUUUUACUAGAAUGAAGUUUACACUUCACAAGUACUCUGUGCACUUUAAUGAGUAACUGAAGACAACCAGGAGUGACUCCUGCAAAAGGGAAAAGCUCUUCUCUUUGUUAGUUAUUUGCAUUCACUGCACUUAAUUUUCUUUUGGGGCAAGAAAAAUUACCUCUAGAGCCUGUAGGAAUAUCCUGUUUUAGGACAAAGGUGUGCAUGAUGUGAAUUACUCUCAGGGAUUUGUUCUGUAAACAACUCCUCCCUCCCCAGAAGAGUUGUCAUGUGAACCAGAGCAGCAAUUAAAAAUAAACUGAAGAAUCAUCAAAUGAAACCCACAAAACUUCAGUUUCUUUAGCAGACAAGACAACAGCUCAGGCAGACACUAGCUCCUUUGGGAUUAGUGACAGACAUCACCGAGUUAAUACCUUCAGUUGAACUCCAGAUUUGUUCCGACACUAUAAAAACUUUACGAUGAACGGUUGCUUAUAAGUAUGUUCAAUGAGUUGCAUUAUAUAGCUUAGGAAAAUAACCCAGGAUGUGAUUCAGUGGUUCCUCUCACUUGAAUGCCCAGAGAAUGAACUCUGUGGUAAAAGCUCUUUCAAGGCCUCCGAGAGAUGCCCAGCACUGAGCUUGACCAGCUCAGUCAAACCAAUGCUAUGUUCUUGGGAAGAGCCAUAACAUGCUAUGCCAACCUAGGUUAACCUCAGUUCUUUUUCUCUUCUCAUCCUGGUAUUCUGAGUAUAUGAGCUUUCAUUUUCAGACUCACUAUUCUCAGUGUCUACAUGCCCAACAUAGCAAACACAAUAGCUAUCAAUUGAUCUCUUUUACCUCUAAAGCUCACAGCUUUGCUGUAAAUAUCUACUGAACUUCAUCUGCUCUACAGCUUCCCUCCUGAUCUCAGCUUAUGGGAAGGUAUAGAUCCAGCAGACUGUAGAGUCACAAUUUGGGCAGGAAAUGCGUACUCAAGGAACAGGUCUGACAGGAAAAAAAGAAAACUAACUAGUAUACCUAUGUGAAAUUGUGUAUUCAUACCACUAAUAACAUCAGCAUGUCUUGAAGAAAGGUUGUUUCUACAGUUCAUGAAUGAGAGAGAGAGAGAGAGAGAGAGAGAGAGAGAGAGAGAGGAGUCAUGCCCAGAAAAGCAAUAGGCAGCUUCUACAACCCCCUGAACCUGAUGUUAGCAACAGUUGCCAGCAAAAAAUAAGUAUCUAAAGGGCAGGAUUUUCCAAAGCUGUCUCAGUGCCAAAACGGACAGCAGCUUUGGAGAAUGGAAAUUCUCUGGAGACAUUGCGUUGCACUUCCUCCUACCCAAGACAUCAAACAAAAAUAAAGACAGUUUAUUAACUAAACUAUCCUCUCCAAACAGCCUUCUGAGCCUGAACCAGUUUCCCUUCUGCUUCCUAAGAAAGUCCCUCAGAAUUUCCCUUUCUCCCUAUCUCUUGUGACCAGGCUUUAUCCACUCUACAAAUAUGAAAGUUCAGAAGGGAGGGAUUUUACCUCUUUCUUUCUUCAGACCAGUGACAUUUCCUAAGGGGGUUUUUAAUAAUCCCACCUUAGUGUGAGAGAGAACUGCUGACUGAAGAGGAAUAAAAAUCCUUGUAAAUAGAUGAUACAUUGAACAAGACAUAGAUAAGGUUAUCACCCCAAACUUGUACCAAAUUGUUAUUUCCUGCUUUGGUGCUUUACAGCAUGAAAAGCUCAGUUUGGUUCUUCCUUCAGGUUCAGCAGUUCAGUUCUUGUUAUAUCCCUUUAAAGUCUAUGGCCCUUCAGUUGCACUCUUUCAAGACAUCACACAGGUGAGAUGGAGAACAAAGAUAAUGCUCAUAAACACAGAUGUUCUUAAGAGGCUUAUCAGCUGUAAGCAGGUGGUGAAACCUAGGCCUGGUAGGACAAAUCUGAAGUCAGACCAUAUGCCUACAUCAGCAGAUAGCAGGCUGAGCUCAAGGUGUAGGCAAAGCUCACUCCUGUAAAAGAAAAAAAGCAAACAAUAAUGGGAGGGAAAGGCCACACAAGAGUGACAUCAAAGAGCAAGGAGAAAUACCUGGCUGCUACACCCAUAAUAUGCAAGAACCAUCUCAUAUUUCAGUCCAUCUCAGUUCUCCUUGAUUGCAUCCGUUUCAUGAGAAACUAGAUAGAGGAAUUCAUAUCAUUUGACAUACGGCUUAAAGGAAAAAAAGUUUAAGUAUCUGGGAGGAAGGGCAGUGAGAAAACUCUAUUUCCCUCUUCUUUCGCACCCCCAACACAACCUACAGAUGUUUCUCCUCUGCUUAUGACCAGCAAAAAGGUAGAACUCAUACACACUCUCAAGCACUAAGAGAGUUGACUAAACUGUAAAAAUAUAAUAAGAAAAAAAAGAUAAUGGCAAUAACUAGGCACCCAUUAAGAGUCACCUUCAUAGAAGUUGAGCCCUUCACUCCUAAGAGGUAGCAGUAACGCAGCUCAGAUCAUCUCUUCAAAACCAAGUCUCAUUGUCCUAAAAAAGAUCAUCCAGCGAAGUACUAUUAUUGUCAGUCAGUGAGAGUCCAACAAAUAGCUUUACUGACUUAAGUUAGUUUAAUACCUUCAGGACUCCUCACACAGAUGUGCCUCAGCAUCAGCUGAUCUGUUUGCCAUUGAACAGAGUGCUCCACAAUCAGAUGACAACACCGAUUCCACCAUCAGUUUGAGCAGAUGUCAAAAGGAAAAAAUAAAUAAAUCAAGUGAAGAAUCAAAAAUGAAGAUCCUUAUUCCGUAUUAAUGUUUUACUUCAGAAUACCUCUAUCUUCAAUGUUUAUACAACAGUAUAACAAGAUGUCAGACAGAGCACUGGAACCAUUUAUUCAGACAGUAAUUUUCUUCUGGAGACAGAAAAAAAGGAAGAAAAAUGCACAAUGCUGAAUCCUUUCACUUCUUUCUGCACCAUCACUUGUGAUCCAGUUCUUUAGAGCUUAGGUUUUCUAGAACAAAACAAAGAAGCACAUACAUUGGCCUGUGUCAUGUAGCUGCAAUCUCUUGGAAGAGCAGUUCUUUAUUCUUAAGAAUGUAUUCGUCAAAAGAGAAACGUAUUGUUGGAACUGUCAAAGAGCAGUGGAAACUCUCAGAAGAGCACAGAGAAAUUGGGAGAAAGAGGAACUUGCGGUGUCUCUCUGGCAGCUCUCUCACAAAAAGGAACAACGACUUCUUGGUUUGUCUGCAUAAGUUUCAUAAAAGGGCAUGAGACCACCACACAUCAGCAGUCACAGGGAAUAAGCCUCACUCAGCAAGAACAAGGCAGGCAAAGAUCAGGACACACCAGGUGCUGUUUUGGCUGUGCUUUCUGAGCUUCCACCCAAAGAGAUUUGGAUCAGCAACAUUCAGAAACCCAACAGAAGUUCUGAUGUGCAAGAUGGGGAUAGGUGGGGCUAGGAAGAUUUCUUCAGGAUUAAGAGCACAGAAAUGGCUCCCUAAAUCAAGGCUUUGCCCUCAGAAACAAAACAAAUGACAGGCCCUGCCCUGACAUUCUGUAGAGCAGCUGCAUUGUCUUGCAAACCUCAUUGCUAAAUCUAGCACAAAAAUUACAAUACUUAAAGGACAAAAUGUACUUCAAGAGAAUGGGAUACACUCACACUAUUAAACAUUACUGGCAGUUGACUUGUCUGUCUGACAGACCCCACAUGCAGCAGCCUGAAAUAUCUCAAAGAUCUCCAGACAUCCUUCUUGUCCUUUUAUUGGUCCUUCCAGUCUCUGCAUUGGCUCUUCAGCCAAAGGAACCAUUGAAAUUCCUCUCAAGUGAGGGCUGAAAACAUGGAUCACAUGGAUCUUAGUUACCUGAGAAUUCACUCAGACUCAACAUAAAAUGAAACUGCCCAAUAACCACAAGAUAGAAGCAAUAUUUGAUCAGUGUUGAGAUCUACUGACUCACAUACUGCUUCCUUCCUUCUGAAACUUGAAAUGAAAUGUGCCACAUUUAGCAUCAGACCCACUAGGCCACCCAAACUCUUCCCAUUUUGCAAAGCCAAGAACAACUUCAGUCUGAGAGCUAUUAGGUUAUUCUGAAGUCAAGAAUUAAGUCUAGAAACCGGAAUGCUCAGGCAAAGUGCUAACUUGGAUAUGUUCCCUUUUUGGCCAGACACAUCCAGAGUUCAGCUAUUUUCCUCCAAGCCUUUGGGAAGGUGCAUGUGAGUUUAAAUCCUGCAUACUACAAUUAGAUAUAAACCUUAAUUCCUUUUUCCCCAUACAUGUUUUAUUUCCAUGCAUAAGGACAAGUUUCUUCUUACCAGCAGCGCUUAAACAAAGUCAGGGGAAUGGAUGCAGUUAUCUGCUGUAGGACUUUGCUUUGGAUACAGCUUUCUUUUGGGUACAGAUCACACACCACCACUUCUAUUCUUUAACCUCAAGAAGGAAAGACUUGGCAGAAUAGAUAAUAUAGUCAAUAACAAACAUUCAGUCCCCAGAGCUUGACGUGCUUUGUAUUAGGCAGCAGGAAAUUCCAGCAGCAUAGGAAAACGUGAGCAAUCCCAAAUCCAGCACUCCACCCACCACGUGCUGCCUCUAUCACGUGACCAAAGCAUGGGAGGGAAGAGAGCAAGUGGGAACAGAGUACACUGUGAGAUAAGGACAAGUUAUGGGAGUUUCAAACAGCUAUAAAUGACUAAACCAAACAAUCCUUGAAACCAGACCAGCCUCCAGCUCUCCUCACCAGUGCUAGAAGUUUGCUACAGUGCACCUGAAGAACUUGGCUGUCGCUGUAAAACAGUUUGCAGCCUGAGGAUACUCCCCCAGGUAUCAAAGGGCAUUUACCCCCGCCCCAUCUUGAGCAGAGUGAGUGAAUUACCCAACACUUCAUCUACGUAAAUAAUAAUUGUCAUUGCUCACAAAUCCCCAGAACAUUACUUUUAAAUUAGGGUAAUUUACGCCAACAGCUAACUCCUUAAAGGAGAAAGCCGUGUUCAUAUCUGGGUAUUAUGAUAGCCUUGUUCCUCACUUGAUGUCAUUAGUUUAAGAAAAGGGUUUUAAUGACAGGACUGCUGACUAAGUGACGCCUCACUUUGAUUACAGCUUUCUUCUAGAUUGGAGUUAAUUACCCAGUUUUGAUACAGAUUGCUGCACCAUAAGAACUUUCUACAGGAAGACAGUAAUUUCCACUUGCAAACUCAUCAGCCUUCUAUUAGCAAAGAGACAAAAGGAGCACCCGGUGAAGUCAGUGACGUGGAAGGAUUCCUAAAGGCCAAACCUAAAAAAAUGAAACGGGAGACUGUCUGGAUGUUUGCUUGCUUGCUGAUUACAUCUCUACACAGAGGUCACCCAGAUGUGACAUGCCAUGCAUCUGUGGGAGAAACUGUUGUGUUGCCUUGCACCAGCACCUUUCCUGAAGAGCUGAACAUUUCCCACUCGAAGCUCUACUGGCAGAAAGGGGAUGACUUAGUGCACUUCUUUCACAAAGGGCACGACGAUCUGGAGAGUCAGGAUGAGCAAUACCAUGGCAGAACCAGUCUUUUUUUAAAUGAGGUGAAGCAUGGCAACUUUUCCUUAAAGCUCUCCAAUGUCCAGCUACAGGAUAAAGCUGUGUAUAGUUGCAUCUACAGCCAGGCUGGGCAUCAAACAAAGAAAUCUCAAAUUAAGCUCAGUGUAUCAGAUUCACCUAGCACUGAGGAGGAACAUCAGUCUUCCGGACAUGCUCAGAUUUCCUUGAGAAGUUCUGGUGAUGCACCACAUCUGGAUGUACUUCUGCUCUCUUUUCAUCUCCUGGUGGCACUAGGGGUUUGUCACCUGUACCUGGGGAAGCUGACCUUCUCCUUGGAUGCUGUCCUCGAUAACAGAGCCUCACUAGGGAGAACAGCUCUGUAAGGUUGGCAUGACAAUUGCUCCAGAGCCACAUGAAAUAUACACCAUCAUCUGAACAUCUACCCAGCACUAGGUGCCUAUGUCUUCUAUUUUGGUGUUCCAGAAACCCAAAUGCAGCUGAACUCAUAGCUUGCUUUUCAUUUGUUCCUGGAGCCUUGAGUUAGUGCAGCUAGUACGAAGUUAUUAUUCUGAAUGCUGUGACUCUGAUUUAAUGACAAGAUUAAAAGGCUCAUGGAGCUACAAGGUCACACAUUGACGGACCCUUGUGAGAUCUUUCACCUAAGAACUCAUCCGCUGUCCUCCAGGAGAACUGAAAGCGGGAGAAAAGACGACUACUUUCUGUCGGAUAAAAAGUGGAAGUAGGAAGAAGCUCACGCUGUGAAACAUAAGGAUGGAAAUCUUGUGAAACUUGAGCCUGUGGAACUUGAGUUUCUGUUUUAGUGCCAAGUGUCAUGGUCUGUCAUCACAAGUAUUUUUUCCAAAAGAAAUGGCCUAUUUCUUCAUCAGACGGGUGAAGCUGACAGAGAUGACGGUGAAAGUUCAGAGAAUAUCAGUGCAGAAGAAGGAAGUGACGCAGUAUAACAAAACAUUUCCUGAUAAACCAAAGGCUCUAGAAGGCCGAAUUCAGCAUUUUCUUUCUGCCAUGAAGCACAGAAAAGUAGAAGUGGCCAUCAUAUAAAAGCUCUGUUUGUAGCCUGGAACUGUGCAAGAAGGAAUUCUUACUGUGACAACGUUCCUAGCUUAAAAACGGUACCUUCUGGAAGAAUUUUUAGAAUCUGGUCAAAAUGAUUUUAACAGUUAACCAUGCAAAGGAAAUGAGUUCUUAAAAAGUCCAAUCCAGAUAUUAUAAGACAUCCUGUGUAAACUAAGAUUGAAAGGAUCCUGUAAAGGACUAUUAUCAGGAAAUGGCUAAGCUUUGUUUCAGGCCAGAACUGCAGCAACAGCACUAUUGCAGAACUGAGAUGUAUCUGGUGAACCGCUCACCCUGUCCUGCAAGGAGUGCGAUGCAGUCAUCGUGGCAGACAGAGGAAAGUGACUGAGAAGAACGCACACUGAGUCAUUUGGGUUUGGAACAGUUCACCCUCUUUCCAAAGGAAAGAUAGGAUUGUUUUUGCAAGAAAAGAAACAGAAUAAAAUAGGGCUUUAAAUGGUAUCCAUUGAGGUAAAGGAGACUGUUAGCUUUAACCUUCUUCAGCAAAAGGCUAUCUAUGGUGGGGAAGCGAGACAAAAUCCCACUCAAAGCUGCAGGAAAGCUCAGUUGGUAUUUCAACUGCCCUGGGUACAGAGCAGCUUCGUCUACCACCUCCGGUCCCACUUCAGGAAAAUAUCUGAAUAUGAGAAUUGUACAUACUGUGAUCUUCCCUUUGGUGUCCUACCCUCCAGAGGGUUGUUUCAGAUUCUGUGUAUUUUUCAAAAUGAAAACUGAUUAAAAAUAAAAACAAAAGUGCUAAAAAAAAAACUGCUAAAAGCCAUG